CCCAGAGCUAAAUCUGGCUCGGAGGCAGCUGGGCAGCAGCUGAAGCCUCCUGUCUCCCUCCUGGGCGGCGGCAGCUCCCGGAGCCGGCAGGCGAUGCUCGGAAAUUGCGUUUUCCCUGCAGGGUUUCCCGGCUGGGCGCAGUUUUCCCGUGCGUCCCUUUUCCCGGAGGAGCAGCAGGAACGCCUUGGAACGCCUUGGGAUGCCUUGGGACACCUUGGGACACCUUGGGACGCCGGUCCCGAGCUGGGGAAGUGCCGUGGCUGCCGGCUCGGGAUGGAGCCGCAGUUGUCCCUCCGUCAGCUCCCAGCUGGCAGCUGCUGCUAAACCUCCCUUUCAUCGCCGGCCAAAAGAGGCCGGGGUGUUUUGCUCCCCCCCCACCCCCGCCCUUUAAUCCUGACUUUCAUCAUUCUCCAGGCUGGGCCUGCCCUCCCCUCCGUGGGAUGGGCAGGGUCGGGGGGCAGGAGCUGUGUCUGGGCUCGGCCCUUCCCCCCAGACCCUCACCCCAAACCUUCUCUGGGCUGCCCGUGGUCGGAGGCAGCAGGAGAGCAAUGGGUUAACCCGCAGGGAUGUGGGGAUGCCCACGAUGGGAGCUGCUGCUGGGCUGGGGAGGAUGUCUGGGCCGGCUGCAGAGGUGCUUCCUGCACGUAAGAGAAUCGGCUUGUUUAAUUUCAGGAUUUUGGGAACGAGACCAAACAUCAAACAGCGUCAGUGCGAGGGGCGGCCUCUGCUCCUGCAGCCGCCGCUCUCCCGGUGCCGCCAGUUCCGUGCCACCGAGCCGACCCAGCUCCUGCUGCGCGGGCACAUCCAGGGCCGGCAGGAGCGGAUCCCCGGGCUCUGGCACCCAGGGAAAACUCUGGCUUUGCCUGCUCCUAGAGCGGGGCAGGAACUUUGUCCCAGCGCCGCGUCCCCUCCAGCACAGGCGGCACAGGAGCAAAACCACGUUUCCCCCCAUUGUCCUCGCCCCAUCCCUGACGGAGCUGGGAGCGGGGUUCGGCUGCGGCCGCCCCUGCUGCUGCCGUUCAGGGCUUGACUUUGGCCAGACCUGGGAGCAGCCGGGCUGUCUGGAGCCGGCUGGGCUCGGCUCGGAGCUGGGCUCGGUGCCAGCAGCUUUCCCAAGCGCCCGGGUCACGGCGGGGCGGCUGAGAGCCGGCACGGAGCAGGGUGGCGCUGCCCUGGCGCGGCCGCUCGCCCCCUGCCCGCUCCCGGCCGGGGGCUCCCCCUCCUACCGGUGGCUCUGGGGGCUCUCGGGGAUGCGGGAUGCGUUUGUCCCACCCGGUUUGCCCGCGCUCAGCACAUUCCUGCGGCGCUGGGAUAUCGCUGGGAUAUCGCUGGGUGUCCGCGGCUGCAGCGCCCUGGGGCUCGCAGCAGGAACUCUGCACACAGGGAGCACAAGGGGUGCUUUAAUGGCUUUGAACGGAAGGAGGGGAGAUGGAGGUUGGAGAUUAGGAGGGAAUUCUUGGCUGUGAGGGUGGUGAGACCCUGGCAGCUGCGGCUGCUCCGUUCCUGGGAGUGCUCGGAGCCGGCUUGGAGCAGCCUGGGAUAAUGGGAAGUGUCCCUGCCCGCUCCCCAGGGGAGGGCGACUGGAUGUCUAAAGUCCCCUCCAGCCCACACCAUUCCAGGAUUCUGUGAUUUUAUGGAUCACCCAUGUCCCACCACCCCGGGCAGCUGCUGGAAUCCCUUUUCCUUCCCCAGCAAGUCCCUGCCCGGCUCCCAGCAGCUCCUGGUGCCUGUGUGAAUUAAUUCAGGGCAGCAGAACCCUGUGCUGCUCCUGGCAGGGACAUUCCCUCUGCCCUGCAUGCACCCCCAGCCCUUCUCCCUGCAGCAACAGGCGCUUUUCCCACCCUGGGAAAUGCACGUGGGAAUCAACUGGCCAGGCAGCACCGGGCAAAGUCCAGGAUGGGGACAGAGUAAAGUAAAAAACAAACUUUGUCCAUUUGAUGGCAGCGAGGGGCCAUAAACCAGCGCACGAGUGGCACUUCUGAGAGGGAACAGUGCACAUGGGAUCAGGGAACGGGGGUGGCUCAGCCCCCGGUCACAGUUACCUCCACGGGUGUUCCUGUGGGCAGUGGGGAGCUCAGGGGGACGUUAAAUCAUUAAUCUGGAUUCGUUUUGUCUCCUGUAAGUGCACGGAGUGGGAAGAGUGUUUGGGAAGCAAAGGGGAAGGACCUUGGAGUGAAGCCCAGGGUUUGAUGGUCAUUGCAGUAGAGAUAAUGAAACUGAGGUGUUUGUUCAAAGCAGAUUUAAAAAAAUAAAUUAAAAUAU
rnacentral:lncRNA from 12 species